rnacentral:rRNA from 1 species
GAUGAACGCUGGCGGCGUGCCUAAUACAUGCAAGUCGAGCGAACGGACGAGAAGCUUGCUUCUCUGAUGUUAGCGGCGGACGGGUGAGUAACACGUGGAUAACCUACCUAUAAGACUGUGAUAACUUCGGGAAACCGUAGCUAAUACCGGAUAAUAUUUUGAACCGCAUGGUUCAAAAGUGAAAGACGUUCUUGCUGUCACUUAUAGAUUGAUCCGCGCUGCAUUAGCUAGUUGGUAAGGUAACGGCUUACCAAGGCAACGAUGCAUAUCCGACCUGAGAGGGGGAUCGGCCAAAAGGGAAAUGAGACACGGUCAAGACGCCUACGGGAGGAAGCAGUAGGGAAUAUUCCGAAAGGGGCGAAAGCAUGACGGAGAAACGCCGCGUGAGUGAUGAAGGUCUUCGGAUCGUAAAACUCUGUUAUUAGGGAAGAACAUAUGUGUAAGUAACUGUGCACAUCUUGACGGUACCUAAUCAGAAAGCCACGGCUAACUACGUG